rnacentral:pre_miRNA from 1 species
GAAACACCCCUAUGGAGCAGGGCUUGCUUCAGUGGGGUGUUGGUGCUCACUGAGUCUGCCUCUUGGGUGUGUCAUCU